rnacentral:lncRNA from 1 species
GAGCUGAGCUCAUGGUUGCUUUCUGGUUGCUUUGUCCAGGACCAGGAUUGAUUGCUCCCGGGCUAUGACUGCCCGGGUCUAGGUCGAUGACCUGGACUUCACCCUUAGGGUUUGUUCUCGGGUAAGGCCGAUGCUUCUUGAACUUGCCAACUUCCUCAUCUAUUGCCUUCUGCCUCUCCGGGGCGAAAUUUCUUCGUUUUUGUUUGACAGGCUUCUUUUUGGGAUCGACGUCAAGGCUGCGCAUUGCCAAUGAUUCAUCCAACCCGGGCAUGUCGUCCGGGCUCCAGGCAAAGACAUCUGCAUAGCUCCGGAGUAGUUGGAUGAUUUCCUCUUUAAAAACAAUAUCCAGGCCUUUUCCAAUUUUGACUUUCCUUGUCGGGUUGUCUUUUUCGAUCAGGACCGACUCGGUCUCGACCGCAGCUUCGACCUUGGUCAAUUCUUGUGCCGAGAUCAUUUGCUGAAUCCGGGCGUCAGUGUUCUUUUCCACAAAAUCUUGAGCUGAGCUCAUGGUUGCUUUCUGGUUGCUUUGUCCAGGACCAGGAUUGAUUGCUCCCGGGCUAUGACUGCCCGGGUCUAGGUCGAUGACCUGGACUUCACCCUUAGGGUUUGUUCUUGGGUAGGGUCGAUGUUUUUUGUUACUUCUCUGUUUUUGGAAGACGGUAGCCUUUCUCUUGUUGUCCAUAUGGGUUUCCGCCAUAAC